GAGAAUUAUUAAUUAAUUACAAAUAUGCUUAAGAUCCAAAACUUGAUACCUUGAUAAAGUAAAGGAACCAAGAUGAUUAAGUUUAUGUUGGCAAGCCUUAAGAUACCAAACUUGAUGCUGCAGUAAAGUUUAAGAGAAAUACAAUUAUUAUCCCAGAAAGCUAAAAUUUCCAAGCAGAGUCGAGGAUAUGUAUAAUCCAAGAACUAGAAUGUCAUAACUUAUUGCAGAGUACUCUCGCAAAUUUUCUUACCCAAAAUGUCCAGAAGGGAUCAAGAAGCCAAAACCACCAUUGAAGUGCAAGCAACGAAGGUUGCCAGAGCAGAAGCAGAUCAAGCAAGCGGAAGCCAUGACCAGCUAGUUGAUGAGAACAAAGCUACUGGAAGCCAUAGCCAACUUAUUGAGGAGAGCCAGAAGCUGAGCAUCCUAAUCCAUGAAAAACCAAGGAGCACCUGCAGUUGGCAGGACAGGUUGAAUUCCUUGAAGCUGGGACCUGAAAAUGAAAAUCCCGCUUCACGGAUACAGAAAGUUCCAUUCAUGCUCAGGGAGAACAAGGAAUUCGAGAAGUAUUACAAACCAAAGAUGGUUGCAAUUGGUCCUAUCCACCAUCGUGAUCCCAAUUUUGAGUUCACUGAGAAGAGGAAGCAUAUAGUAGCUGGUGAUUUCAUCAAAGAACAUGGGAUAGAUGCAGAAAAUCUUUAUGACAAGAUUAUGGAUGGUUUGGGCAAUUUGAAAAUGCGCUAUGUAGAGGAUGUGAUAAAGGACUAUACGGAUGAUGAGCUCGCCUGGAUGUUCCUGGUGGAUGGAUGCGCAAUCCUGCAUUUUAUACAUUGUGUUGUGAAUGAUGAGAAAAAUGAUCCACAAUAUUCUGCAAAGUUGGAGAAAUUCAACUUCAAGAAAAACCAGGUGGCGUAUGCUCAACAGGAUUUGUUCUUGUUCGAGAAUCAACUUCCUUAUCAACUCCUUGAGCUAUUGAUAAGCUCGGUAGUUCAGAAUAAGGAGAGGGAAGAUAUCAGAGAGUCUAUCAGAAACUUCAUUGAUAUGAACCUGAUGACUCCAGAAUCAACAACAAAGAGCAUUGAUAUGAACCUGAUGACUCCAGAAUCAACAACAAAGAGCAGACAAAGAGGAAGAAAACCUUCAGAGAAUCCCUGUCAUCUUCUUGAGCUUCUGUGGGAAGAACUUACAGAUGGAAUAUUGCCACAGAGUGGCGGAUUGACAAUGCACUCGUUCCGUAAUGUCAAAGAGCUCAUGACAUCAGGGAUCCAGUUGAAAGCAAGUAGUGAAAAUUCCUUAAACAUUUCAUUCAAUCAAUUUUGCUUCACAGGAACCUUACAAAUUCCUUCCCUGGUUGUAGACGAUUCGACAGCAGCCAAGUUCUUGAACCUAAUAGCAUACGAAAUGUGCCCUGAUUUCAUGAAUGAUUUUCAGGUCACCUCCUACAUAUGCUUCCUGGAUUCGCUCAUUGAUCAUCCUGAAGAUGUCCAGGAGCUUAGAAAGGCGAAAAUUCUCACAAAUUGUCUUGGCAGUGAUGAAGAAGUAGCUAAACUCUUCAACGAGAUAGGCACAGACUUAGUUCCAAACCCUGAUCUAUAUGCCAAAGUGAAAGCUGAUAUCCAUGAACACUACAAGAAUCGAUGCAAAACCUAUUUAGCUGAGGCCUAUCACACCUAUUUCAGUAGUCCCUGGACUUUCCUUGCUUUUCUUGGUGCCUUGCUUGCACUUCUUUUCAGUGCUGUUCAAGCUUAUUUCUCGCUUCCUUCUGAAAAAAGUUAAUGAAAGGUGCUUAGGAUCCUGGUAAUUAUGUAUCAUCAUUGCCUAAAUUACGACAUUUUCCAUCUUUUCAUCUUUGGCUUGGACGAUUGUUAAUUUGUAAUGACAAUAAAUCAGAG
rnacentral:misc_RNA from 1 species